rnacentral:rRNA from 1 species
CCCAACCUCCCACCCGUGAUUAUUGUACCUCCUGUUGCUUCGGCGCGGCCCCCCGGGGCCCGCCGGAGACAUCUUCUCGAACGCUGUCUUUGAAAAGGAUUGCUGUCUGAGUAAACAUACCAAAUCGGUUAAAACUUUCAACAACGGAUCUCUUGGUUCCGGCAUCGAUGAAGAACGCAGCGAAAUGCGAUAAGUAAUGUGAAUUGCAGAAUUCAGUGAAUCAUCGAAUCUUUGAACGCACAUUGCGCCCCCUGGUAUUCCGGGGGGCAUGCCUGUCCGAGCGUCAUUACUGCCCCUCAAGCGCGGCUUGUGUGUUGGGCCGCCGUCCCCUGCGCCUCCGGGCAAGGGGGACGGGCCCGAAAGGCAGUGGCGGCGCCGCGUCCGGUCCUCGAGCGUAUGGGGCUUUGUCACCCGCUCAGUAGGUCGGGCCGGGGCCUUUGCCCUCUCCAACCUUUUUUUCCUUAGGUUGACCUCGGAUCAGGUAGGGAUACCCGCUGAACUUAAGCAUAUCA